CCAAGUUUUCUAGGAUGAUGCAAUGUCCAGCCAUCAACACAUUUGUGAAGGAAUUUUUACUCCCCAAAAGAGCGCCCCCCCAUGGCAGGAGAAAAAAGUCCAUUUUUUCUUGUCCCCUAAGGUGAAAAUACACAUUGUUGAGUGUCACGCCUGUACGCUUUGUCAAAAUGACACAAAAAUUGACACACACAUGUAUCUCAAUAAGAUCUACAAAAAAGUCCAUGCGCGCGUAUCUGUCUAAUGUACGGUUAAAGGGUUAUUCCGCAUUUUUUGCCGAUUCGCACACAUUGGAAUUUCGCUAACUCCUCCGAAGGCUUUCGUUCCACCGGCACCACAUUUGCUCAGGCCAAAUUACACCCCAUGGCCAUUAAAAGUUAUUCAAAUCAUGACGCUGCACCCCACGGUUUACGUUCUAGGGGGCGCCAAAGAUAACCCAAAAAUCCACAUUUUUAAAAGUCUUUUAACUUUUUAUUUUUGUCCUCACUGGCCUCCAAGUUUUCUAGGAUGAUGCAAUGUCCAGCCAUCAACACAUUUGUGAAGGAAUUUUUACUCCCUAAAAGAGCGCCCCCCCAUGGCAGGAGAAAAAAGUCCAUUUUUUCUUGUCCCCUAAGGUGAAAAUACACAUUGUUGACUGUCACGCCUGUACGCUUUGGCAAAAUGACACAAAAAUUGACAAUCAUGUGUAUCUCAAUUAGAUCUACGAAAAAGUCCAUGCGCGCGUAUCUGUAUAAUGUACGGUAAAAGGGCUAUUUUGCAUUUUUUGCCAAUUCGCACACAUUGGAAUUUCGCUAACUCCUCCUAAGGCCUUCGUCCCACUGACACCAAAUUUGCUCAGGCCAAUCUACACUCCAUGGCCAUUCAAAGUUGUAAAAAUCAUGACGCUGCACCCCACGGUUUACGUUUUAGGGGGCGCCAAAGAUGACCCAAAUAUACAUUACAGUAGACAAAGUAGUUUUGCCCACUGAGUGGCGCCAAAGGGACUUGUCUGUGGAGUCUGUGAGUCACUAUUGGCCGUUUUUGACUACUUUAGAUUUUACCUUUAUAUUUCCUCUUACAAAAUUUUUACCUUGCCUUGCCUGGUAUCAUUUUUUUCAGCACAACCUCACCUGUGUCAAUUUACAGUUAUUUUAUCAUUUUGACAUACUAUAUUUACACAUUGGACCCAAAUUCACACACAAAACAUAAAAUCCGAGUGGAAAAAAGUAACGUUUUUACUGUGAAAACCACAAAUAUGUGUGAUGAACUGUUUUUAAAACUUAAACUUCAAAUAAAAAUUGUAAACUUCAAAACAUAUGCAAAUUUUUAACAAAGAACAUAGUAAUUUACCUCUAUUGACAUCAAAAUGCAGGCAAUGGCCCAGGUGUUCUUUGUAAAAUUAUUUACAAAACACUGUAUAGUCUCACAAAUGUCACUUUUUAUUUAUGCCACUACAAAAAAACAUGAUGUAAAUGAUGCAUGAUGUAAAACAUGAUGUAAAAAACUUGUGUAGAUCCUCCUCUAUGUUAGUCCAUGUGUAAUUUUUCCAUAAUUCUUUGUUUUUUGCAGCAUUUUUGUUAGUGUAACUGCAGAUUGUGCUGACAGUGUCUAUGGCAAAAAAAAAAAAAAAAAAACUGAAAAUGCCUCAACAUGAACCCCUGGUGGUCUCUGAGGGUGAAACCUGCUAACUGCUGCAGCUCUGUCAGCUUCAGUCUCCCAUGCAGAGCUCGGAGCGCAUGUGUGGCUCUGCACCCUUAGCAGUGUUGCUAACUCCUCAGUAAGGAAAGCCUGCUUCAUGUCAGAGUCUCUAAACUCCAGAAGAAGUCGAUAAAAGUCCCUUUCUUUCUAAAAAAAAGUCGUUAGGGGGUCUGAAAAGUCAUUGAAUCUAACAACAAAGUCGCUAGGUUUGCAACUACGUGUCCCAGACUGCAUCCCUGCUGAGAGUCCCUCCCUCCCUUCUCAUAUUGCAGGAAGAACGUAAGUUCCCGCCCCUUGUCAAUCAGUCACCAUAUAAUUUUGGAUUGGUUGUUGUGGUGAAGUUUUCCACCAAUAGGAGAGAUGUUGUGGUGUGUUUUUUUUUUCCUUUGGCAAGCCUUUUCCGCCUGUAAGACCUGUCGCUAAUGUCUGCAUGCUAUGUUUUCCUGUCUCAUACAGCGCGAUCGAGCGCCGAACGUGAUCAAAAUAAGCAGAAAACAAGUAUCGCGGACAUAAUUUAUCAUAACUCUGGUUUUAUUUGGCCUAUCAACACAAUUUAAAAACUGGUAUAUAGGUUGAGGUCCUCACUUUUGAGAUAAGUUGAAACGGAGAGUCAACGAGGCUCCGUCUUGCUGCUACAUCCGAUUAAAUAUGUCAUGUGACUUGAACGCACACACAGACACACACACACGCACACACACACACACACUCAGAGUCUGGUUUUUAGCACCUGCAAAAACAUGCUAUUUACAUAUUUGACAAGAAUGCAGAGGCUCCUUUUGCCCCUGAAAAAAAUCAAAUUUCAAACACAACUUGACUGGUCAUUUCUCCAAAAGACAACCAUGAAGCUCCAUCCAAACCUGAAGCAGGCAGUUGGUGCAUGUGUACAGUAACCUGAGGGGAGUGAGGUGACUGCUUCUGAGGAGAACAUGAGCAGUGAAGAUUCACCUUAGAGCUAGAACAGAGACGUGCACAUGAUUAUACAGGGGCAGGGGCUCAAGUUUUUUCCAGUUGUUUAUACAAUAUGGAAAUUAAUGUGAAAUUAAAAAACAAAGUAUUAAUAGAAAGGUAAUGACUGUCCUGUGUAGGUGACAGUGAUAUCCAAUAGGCUAGGCACUCACGAGGCUGGCUGUGGCAAGUGUAAGUGAAAGCAACACGCACUGGCAGGAAGAACAGCAAACGCGUGUGAAGGAAAAGGGUCUUUGCAGUGAUGGGCGUUACCAGAGAGGGCGAUGGCCAGAGGACACAAAUGGGACGGGGAGGCAGCGCGUUGGGGGGGGGACGCGACACAGCUCGGGCCCGCCAGUGCCCCAACGGGGUCCUAGUUCUUUCUUUCUUUCUUCUUUUUCCUCCCCUUUGAACUGGAAAAUGGCCCACUUCCCACUGGCGAAAACUCAUGAAAUUUGGCAGGACGACCGGGCCUGGUGAAAAAUUUGAUAUUCUGAAGUCGCCCAAACAAUACAAUGCAAAAUGGCUCCAUAGCGCCCCCUAAGGUGUAAAUUCACACUAUUGACUGUCACGCCUGUACGCUUUGUCAUAUUGACACAAAAAUUGACACACAUAUGUAUCUCAAUAAGAUCUACAAAAAAGUCAGUGCGGCCGUAUCUGUCAAAAUUACGGUUAAAGGGUUAUUUCGCAUUUUUUGCCGAUCCGCACACAUUGGAAUUUCGCUAACUCCUCCGAAGGCUUUCGUUCCACCGGCACCACAUUUGCUCAGGCCAAUCUACACCCCGUGGCCAUUAAAAGUUAUCAAAAUCAUGACGCUGCACCCCACGGUUUAGGUUCUAGGGGGUGCCAAAGAUAACACUAAAAUCCACAUAUUUAAAAGUCUUAUAACUUUUUAUUUUUGUCCUCACUGGCCUCCAAGUUUUCUAGGAUGAUGCAAUGUCCAGCCAUCAACACAUUUGUGAAGGAAUUUUUACUCCCCAAAAGAGCGCCCCCCCAUGGCAGGAGAAAAAAGUCAAUUUUUUCUUGUCCCCUAAGGUGAAAAUACACAUUGUUGAGUGGCACGCCUGUACGCUUUGGCAAAAUGACACAAAAAUUGACACACACAUGUAUCUCAAUAAGAUCUACAAAAAAGUCUGUACUCGCGUAUCUGUCAAAUGUACGGUUAAAGGGUUAUUCCGCAUUUUUUGCCGAUACGCACACAUUGGAAUUUCGCUAACUCCUCCGAAGGCUGGCAUUCCACCGGCACCACAUUUGCUCAGGCCAAUCUACACCCCAUGGCCAUUAAAAGUUAUUCAAAUCAUGACGCUGCACCCCACGGUUUAGGUUCUAGGGGGCGCCAAAGAUAACCCUAAAAUCCACAUAUUUAAAAGUCUUAUAACUUUUUAUUUUUGUCCUCACUGGCCUCCGAGUUUUCUAGGAUGAUGCAAUGUCCAGCCAUCAACACAUUUGUGAAGGAAUUUUUACUCCCCAAAAGAGCGCCCCCCCAUGGCAGGAGAAAAAAGUCCAUUUUUUCUUGUCCCAUAAGGUGAAAAAACACAUUGUUGACUGUCAUACCUGUACGCUUUGUCAUAUUGACACAAAAUUUGACAAUCACAUGUAUCUCAAUAAGAUCUACGAAAAAGUCAAUGCGCGCGUAUCUGUAAAAUGUACGGUUAAAGGGCUAUUUUGCAUUUUUUGCCGAUUCGCACACAUUGGAAUGUGGCUAACUCCUCCUAAGGCUUUCGUCCCACUGACACCAAAUUUGCUCAGGCCAAUCUACACCCCAUGGCCAUUCAAAGUUGUAAAAAUCAUGACGCUGCACCCCACGGUUUACGUUCUAGGGGGCGCCAAAGAUGACCCAAAUAUCCACAUUCUUAAAAGAAUCCACAUCCCCCCCCCCAUCCCCCAUCCCCCAUGGCAGGAGAAACAGUCAAGUUUUUCCUGCCCAUCACUGAAUGGCUCAAUCGCAUCACUCUCCCGGCAACACCGUAACGAGGAGCAACUUGCCGUUUGGAUAUAUCCUAGCUGUGUUUGUGCCCUCACUCAUGGUCCAGACUUUUUUCAAAUAGGACAUGUAGUUUGUCUGCAGCGUGUGUUUUGGUAGAAACUGCGCCUCCCAUUCAUUAUAAUGGGAAAUGACCACAGACAAGUGCGCACACCAUCUUUGGACCUUGAGUGUGACGCGAUCGGGAGGGGGAGGCGGUCGCGCUGGGGGCGGCGCAACGCGGCUCGGGCCCGACAGUGCCCCACCGGGGUCCUAGUUCUUUGUUUCUUUCUUUCUUUCUUUCUUCUUUUUCCUCCCCUUUGAACUGGAAAAUGGCCCACUUCCCACUGGCGAAAACUCAGGAAAUUUGGCAGGACGACCGGGCCUGGUGAAAAAUUCGAUAUUCUGAAGUCGCCCAAACAAUAAAAUGCAAAAUGGCUCCAUAGCGCCCCCUAAGGUGGAAAUUCACACUAUUGACUGUCACGCCUGUACGCUUUGUCAUAUUGACACAAAAAUUGACACACAUAUGUAUCUCAAUAAGAUCUACAAAAAAGUCAGUGCGGGCGUAUCUGUCAAAUGUACGGUUUAUGGGUUAUUUUGCAUUUUUUGCAGAUCUGCACACAUUGGAAUUUCGCUAACUCCUCCGAAGGCUUUCUUUCCACCGGCACCACAUUUGCUCAGGCCAAUCUACACCCCGUGGCCAUUAAAAGUUAUUCAAAUCAUGACGCUGCACCCCACGGUUUAGGUUCUAGGGGGCGCCAAAGAUAACACUAAAAUCCACAUAUUUAAAAGUCUUAUAACUUUUUAUUUUUGUCCUCACUGGCCUCCAAGUUUUCUAGGAUGAUGCAAUGUCCAGCCAUCAACACAUUUGUGAAGGAAUUUUUACUCCCCAAAAGAGCGCCCCCCAUGGCAGGAGAAAAAACUCCAUUUUUUCUUGUCCCCUAAGGUGAAAAUACACAUUGUUGACUGUCACGCCUUUACGCUUUGUCAAAAUGACACAAAAAUUGACACACACAUGUAACUCAAUAAG
rnacentral:lncRNA from 1 species